rnacentral:rRNA from 1 species
GAUGAACGCUGGCGGCGUGCCUAAUACAUGCAAGUCGAGCGAACAGAUGCGGCGCUUGCUCCCCUGACGUUAGCGGCGGACGGGUGAGUAACACGUGGAUACCCUACCUAUCAGACUGGGAUAACUUCGGGAAACCGGCGCUAAUACCGUAUAAUAUAUUGCUCCGCAUUGUUCAAUAGUGAAAUACGGCUUUUCUGUCACUUAUAGCUGGAUCCGCGCCGCAUUAGAUAGUUGGUAAGGUAACGGCUUACCAAGGCAACGAUGCGUAGCCGACCUGAGAGGGUGAUCGGCGACACGGGAGCGGAGACACGGUCAAGACGACUACGGGAGGCAGCAGUAGGGAAUCGGACGCAAUGGGCGAAAGCUUGACGGAGCAAGGCGGCGUGAGAGAUGGAGGUGUUGGGAGCGUAAAAAUCGGUUAUGAGGGAAGAACAAAUGUGUAAGGAAAUAUGCAGGGAGUGACGGUACCGAAUCAGAAAGCAACGGCUAACUACGUG